GUUCCGGACAGGAAUAGUACAGUUGUCCUGCCGGACUCUGGCCUGUCCCGCAGCACCUGUUCUGACUUCAGGGACAGUUGUCUCUCCAUUUGUCUUUUGCCAUAGCAAAGUGUCCUUGGCUAUGGGCUGCCCUACUAUACAGAAAUUCGACAUCUACAACUCUAUAGAAACUGAACAGCAACGCCCUAGUGGUGAGUUUUGCACAGCUCCCAGGGAGAUCUGUGACCGAUGCUCCUCAAGUUGAAGGUUCAUCCUCAGUUCAGUGGAAGGUUCACCCAGCGGUCAACAGGCUAUUCUGCUACCAGGGCACUCUCGCUCUUUCUCAAUCUGUCUCUCCCUCCCUCUUUGGCCAUUUUCUCCCAAUUUUCUGGCUGUAAGUAAUCAGGCAACACUAACUACUGUAUGUAUUAAACACUUAGACUGGGUUGUUUUUACUUUCAUUGUUAAAAUAGCAGUAACACGGUUUGCUUCAGGUGCUUCUUUCUUCUUGAGUUGAAUGUUUGCCUUCACUGAGGUAUGUUUUUGGCUGUUUAAUGCAUCAUUUAAGUGGUCCUUGCAGGCAGACAGACCUUUGAACAUAUUUGUCUGGCAUUGCUGUGCAAUUUUACAGUCCUUUGUCUCUCAUCAAAAUGCAAUGACCUAUUUCAAGGCUUAAUUUACAAACAAUGAACUGAUAUGUUUAAGCACGUCAAAUGCAGCCCCAUUCUUUCAUAUGAUGAAAAGGGUGAAUAAAACUCUUGAUGCAAUGAAUAACAAAAUAGAAAAUCAAAUUAGUCUUUAUUUCAAUUCUGCAACUGAA